UGGGAUUAAAAAAAAAAAACUCAGUUGGCUGGGCAUGGUGGCUCAUGCCUGUAAUCCCAGCACUUUGGGAGGCCGAGGCAGGCAGAUUACGAGGUCGGGAGAUUGAGACCAGCCUGGCCAACAUGGUAAAACCCUGUCUCUACUAAAAAUACAAAAAUUAGCUGGGUGUGGUGGUGUGCACCUGUAGUCCCAGCUACUCAGGAGGCUGAGGCAGGAGAAUCACUUGAACUCGGGAGGCAGAGGUUGCAGUGAGCCAAGAUCACGCCACUGCACUCCAGCCUGGGGACAGAGAGAGACUCCAUCUCAAAAAAAAAAAAAAAAGAAAGAAAGAAAAAACAACUCAGUUCAUCACUGAGAAAGGGACUCUAACAAUUUCAAAGCAUACUUCCUGGCUAUACUGGAUUAAUCCAGGAGCUAUUAAGACUAUAUUUCCUAUUGUCUGUUAAGAUCUGAAGCAGACUUUUAUAACGGGGCUCCACAGACACAUUUGGGAAACACAAUCAGAAGCAAAGUCCUAUAGGACUUCUUAGGCAUCUCAAUAUCCAUUUCUGUAGCUUAAGACCUCAGGUCAGGUGAUGAUUCUGGAAGACAAUGAUGGCAAUGUAAAGGCCUUGGAAGAUUAAAUCAUUCAUUCUGCUAUCCACCCAUUCACUCAACACUUAUCGUAACAUAUUGGAUUGUGCUGGGGCAGGAAUUACGGAAGUAAAAAAGUCAUGGUCUCUGUCCAUUUAGUGAUGGACAGACAUGUAAACAACCAUACCACAAUGUGAUAAAUGCUACAAGAGAGAAAUGUACAAAACCCUUUGGCAAUGCAGGUGUGAAUCAUUCUCUCUCAAAGAAUCCAGGAAGCUUUCAAGGAAGGUUACAUCUGGGCUAGAUUUUGAAGCAUAAACAGAAUUUUGGUAGGUGAAAAGUGAAGAGGGAAGACAUUCUAGGUAAAAGCAUGUGCAGAGGUAUGAAAUUUGAGACUCUAUGGCCAAGUCUAAUUGGGACAGAUCUUAGGAUAGAUGGGAGAGUGACAACAAAUAAGGCUAGAAAGGUAGGUUGGGAUCAAAUGUCAUGCAAAAAGGUCUGGACAUUAUCCUAUCCCUAUCAAUGAUGAAGAAUCAAGCAAGACUUAAAAUCUGGUGGUUUCCUAAUGAAAUAUUUCAGAUGUACAAAAAGGUGCAAAAAAGAAUACGCUGAAUGCUUAUAUACCUACCAUCUAAUUGUAGAAAGAAUUAUAACUACCUUUCAAACCCUCCAUGAACCCCUUUUUGAUUGUCUGUCCGUCUUUUCCCGGAGUAUCAUUCUUAUACAGAGUGUUUAUCCUUUUACUAAAUACAAACGUGUCUCUAAAUAACAUAUCACUUUGUGUUCUUAAAUGUUACGUACAUGUUACAUUCUGCACCUUACUUUUUAAUGAAUAUUAUAUUUGUGAGACUUAUUCUGAUUUGUUUAGCUCUAGUCCAUCUUCAGUGUUGUAUCACAUUUCAUUGUAUAAAUAUACCACAAUCCAUUUUCCUGUUCAUAGAAAUGUAACUGGUUUCCUUUUGUUUUUUCUUUUGGUAUUUAUUUUGGAUUAAUACUGCAAUCAACGUUGUUGUUUAUACAUCCUUGUUUGAGAAAGUUUCUCAAGGAAAUGUACCUAGGGGUGAAGUUACUGGGUCAUAAGGUUUGGGCAACUUUGACUUUAUUAGCUGUUGCCAAACUGCCCUCAAAGUGAUGCUGCUAACAUAUACUCCCACCAGCAGUGUAAAGACCUAUGCUUCUGAAAUCCAACUUGUGACUGAACAAAUUGAAUAGUGGCUGCUAUAAGAAAAAGUCUGAAGGCAAAAAGAACAGUUAGGAGGCUCUUAUAACAUGAGAGAUUAUGAGACCUUGAAAUAAAAUAGUGGUUGUAGCAUUGGGGAAGAAGAAUUUACUUGAGAGAUAUUUAGAAGGCAGGGUUGAAAGAACCUACUGACUGGGUAGCAGACAGAGAAUUUAAAGUAACUGAGAUUUCUACUUUAGGCAACUAAACAGAUGAUGACACCAUUAAUUGGGAAGGUAAACAUAGGAGAGAAAAGUUCUUAAAUUGUAGGGGUAGGGCAAUAAGGCAUUUUCUUUGGAAUGUCAAGUCUGAAGUACUUGUGGGACCUCUGGGUAGGGAAUGACGUUCAAGAGGCAAGACCAUGCUGGUAGUAAAAACUGUGAAGCCUGUUCACCUAGGCAGCUGUGAAGAAUCAGAUAUGUAGCUUCAAAACAGUUAAGGGCAAAAUAAACAGCACUUCCUACCAGUUAACACCAGUUUCUCUAUUCUAGGAAAAAAACAGUCACUUACAUGCCCCAUGAUACAAGGUACCCUCCCCUUGAACUAAUUCUAUAUCUGACUUUCCACCUGUCUAGACUAAAGCCUUCAGUUUAAGAUGGAACAAGCAGGGAUGAAAGAAGACAGUUUCGUAACACUAGUCUUCAGAGAGCUACCAAACUGGUGCUUUAAAUGUCUACCAACGGGGAGACGACCUGACAUCCUGUUUGACAAAGGAAAUCAAUACAGUGAUGCGGCCCUGGCAAGUCAAAAACACUGGAGAUUGGAAUUUUCUUCAAAAUGCCUAGUCCUUGGUGAAUAAAUGCUGUCUCUAACCAUCUGCUGCUGACACUUGAAGAAAGAAUUACAACCAAACUGACCUUCAUCCCGGAGAUUUACAACCAAGGGGAACAAGCUUUUCCCUUCUGUUUCCAACACCUAUGGUCUGAUAACCUAGCUACUCCAAAUGUAGCUUUCCAGCACUGAACUGGGAGAAUAAAUAUUAAAGUUAGUAUUUAGAUUA